GCACCUCAUAAAACGGGUGCCGGGAUUUGCACCCCGAUGAUCACUAGAGCGCAUAACCGCGCCAAAGCGGUUUUUUU
rnacentral:sRNA from 22 species